UUGAAUUUUAAUGAAGAGUUUGGUUGUAGCUGGCCCAUUCAUUUGGGCAUGUGCACACCUUCCUCUUUCAUCCCACAACACACCUGUGAACCUGUGAGACAGAGAUGGGGAAUUUACUUGCUGCUUUUGGAAUACAAAGGCAAUAGGGUUAUUGGACCCCCCCUCUGUCUACUCAAUUAAUAUAAACUCAAUUUAUUUUAAAACGAAUGUAAUGGAUGUAACACAUCUCAUAC
rnacentral:misc_RNA from 1 species